rnacentral:misc_RNA from 1 species
GAAAUGCGAUAAGUAGUGUGAAUUGCAGAAUUCAGUGAAUCAUCGAAUCUUUGAACGCACAUUGCGCCCCUUGGUAUUCCAUGGGGCAUGCCUGUUCGAGCGUCAUUUGUACCCUCAAGCUAUGCUUGGUGUUGGGUGAUUGUCCAAGUCUUCAUGGCUAGGACUCGCCUUAAAGUAAUUGGCAGCCAGUGUUUUGGUAUAAAGCGCAGCACAUUUUGCGGUUUACUCCAAUAAUAUUAGCAACCAUAAAGCUCAUUUAUCACUUUUGACCUCGGAUCAGGUAGGGAUACCCGCUGAACUUAA